rnacentral:rRNA from 1 species
CAGUAGCCGCGGGAAUACAGAGGUCCCGAGCGUUGUUCGGAUUCACUGGGCGUAAAGGGUGUGUAGGAGGUUUGGUAAGUCAGGUGUGAAAUCCCGCAGCUUAACUGCGGAACUGCAUUCGAUACUGCUGAACUAGAGGCUUGGAGGGGGAAGCGGAAUUCUUGGUGUAGCGGUGAAAUGCGUAGAUAUCAAGAGGAACACCGGUGGCGAAGGCGGCUUCCUGGACAAGUCCUGACUCUGAAACACGAAAGCUAGGGGAGCGAAUGGGAUUAGAUACCCCCGUAGUCCCUGUCUCUUAUAC